CAAAUGUUGAUUUAAUUACACAAUCAAAGCAUCCAAGCCACUUGAAUAAAAUCGAUUUAUUUACAUAGCGAUGCUUGCAAGUCGUGCUGUAUCCUAUAUCUUCGUUUGAUUUCAUGACAUGAAACAAUAUAUAUGCAAUGAGGAAAAUACUCAACUGAUCCUCUAUCAUAAAGGUACGUGGAUAUAUGUAUAUGUUUUGUGAAACAUAUAUUCGAGAUGGACUAACGCCAUAAUCACAGUUCGUGAUGCAGAUACGCCACAAUCACAAAGUAAACAAAAACAAGCUGAAAGGGAUCAGAUAUAAAUUAACCAGAAUGAGAUUGAUUAAGAUUCACCAUGCCCUUCCUUAAAACUUCCACACAAAUAAACUUUAGAUUGUCACGUUUUGACCUCCUUUGACAAUCGUACAAUCUAUUUGUAUCCCAAAGCAAGCCAUUUUGUUGGAGGAACGUUCACCGUAGUCUACUGAUUGUUCCCGAGAGAUACCAACUCCGCACACCUGUGGCCAGCACUCGAACCAUUCGUCACCAUUCGCCCCUUUCCGCAGCCAGGACUACCUCGGAUACUCUGACAUUCUUAUUCCCUCGAGACCUCGAGUCUACAGAAGACAUAGGCCACUGUUAGAAGUGUUAAUAGCAGAAUCAAGUGGAUGUGCCGAAUGUCCUCGCUCCCAUCCCUGGUGGAUGCACAUAUUGACAGACCGAAGAAAAUAGGCCAGACCCACUUGUGGACCACUUUUCCCUGAUUGAUAAUAGGAUUGGCGGGAUUUGUGUUGAAUUACCACGAUGAACAUUGUCACCGAUUUCGUAUUAUUGCCCGUAUGUUGUUUGUGUUACUGACUGAAUAAGCAAUCUGUGAAGUUAUCAUUGUUGACAUAAAUUAAUUAAAAUAA